CUGCAAAGAUUCCUUAACAAUUUAAAAGAGAAAAAAAAAACACGUGUGAGAUCCAAAGUUCCGUGAACAUCGAACUUUGUUGUCCUAAAAACAAAUCUCGUCCGAGCAUGGGCAAUGGCGCUUUUCAACAGAGACAUUGUUUGCUUCUGCGACUGAUCUAAAAUGAUAUUGCUGACAGGGUCAAAAGCAGCAGCUCUGGUUGCUACUUUCUAUGGUUAUCAUGUGAGUUCUUUGCUCCUCUUUUUUCUCCUUUCCCUUUCGGAUUUUUGGGUAACGUUGGCGCACAUCGAUGUUCGAGCCCCAUGUAUUCCCAAGCAGACAUCUUGUGCUUGAGUGCUUUCGUCGAUGUGCGGAAACUUCGCGGUUGGUGCGGACGGAAUCUUUCUCGCUGCCGUCUUCCCUCUCCCUUGCAGCGAGGGAGGAAAAGAGAAGUGAAGUGGCCCUUUUGGAAGCAUUUGAGAGAUCUUCAUAGUGGCGAAAAAGGUAAAAAAAAUAAACGCAUAUAGCCAAAAAAGUG
rnacentral:lncRNA from 1 species